rnacentral:rRNA from 1 species
UGCAGCAACGCCGCGUGAGGGACGACGGCCUUUCGGGUUGUAAACCUCUUUUAGUUGGGAAGAAGGGAGCUAUGCUCUUGACGGUACCAGCAGAAAAAGCACCGGCUAACUACGUGCCAGCAGCCGCGGUAAUACGUAGGGUGCAAGCGUUGUCCGGAAUUAUUGGGCGUAAAGAGCUCGUAGGCGGUUUGUCGCGUCUGCUGUGAAAUCUGGGGGCUCAACCCCCAGCCUGCAGUGGGUACGGGCAGACUAGAGUGCGGUAGGGGAGAUUGGAAUUCCUGGUGUAGCGGUGGAAUGCGCAGAUAUCAGGAGGAACACCGAUGGCGAAGGCAGAUCUCUGGGCCGUUACUGACGCUGAGGAGCGAAAGCAUGGGGAGCGAACAGGAUUAGAUACCCUGGUAGUCCAUGCCGUAAACGUUGGGAACUAGAUGUAGGGGCCAUUCCACGGUUUCUGUGUCGCAGCUAACGCAUUAAGUUCCCCGCCUGGGGAGUACGGCCGCAAGGCUAAAACUCAAAGGAAUUGACGGGGGCCCGCACAAGCGGCGGAGCAUGCGGAUUAAUUCGAUGCAACGCGAAGAACCUUACCAAGGCUUGACAUAUACCGGAAACGUCCAGAGAUGGUC